AAAGUCGGAUCGUGCUUGAGUUAAGACGUUUGUUUAAAGCCAGCAUUGGUAAGUGGCAAGUGCGGGACAAAAACUGAGCCGAAGGAAAAGAGAAAAAAGGUAACUAAAUGAAGUGAGGUACAGUGGUGCAAUGUGAAAUUAAAGUACGAAAAUUAAAAAUUGCUUUUGAAAUUAUUUUUAAAUAUUCGGUGACCGUAGUAUGUCGCGUGUGACUUGUGGCAAUACAAGCAAAAAUAACAACAGCAACAACUACAAUACAUGUACUAAUGCAUAUAAGCAAGUGAACCAACAAAAUUAUGCUGUGUUUUUUUCCAAUUAAAAACAAAAACCAAUGCUAACUAAAUUAAGUGUGUUAAGUUUUCUUCAGAGUUUUGUACUCAAGUGAAAAGUAUUUAAAAUCUUUGCGUGAAAAAUUGUUUAACUACAUAAAUACAUCGAACAUUUACCUUCAUACAUACUAUGUAUGUAUGUAUGUGAUUGUGCGUGCUUAAAUCACCAGCUAAUCUCACUGCGUUUUUUUCGAAAACGUUCGUAUUGUAGUUGUGCUCCAAAGCAGAUGAGCAUGCAUUUGUGUUAUUCAUUGACUUGAACGUUGUUUGCUGUUAGUAAACUUUUUUCUUCGCUUGUUGCUGCUGUACCACUUGCAGCCUAUUCCUUUGGCAUUUGCUGCAAGCGUAGUUCGUCUGCGCGUAUGUGGAUUAGUUUGGCUGAUAUUUACCGCCGCUACCGCUGUUGCCGUUGCUGUAACGAGACGCGCCUAUAAAGUGAAGCAUGGAGAGGAAUAGCAGUGAAAUCGAGCAAGCAUGAAUGCUUACGAAGCAGCUGUAGACAAGAAAUUUUAAGUAAAAAAAAAAAAAAAACGAAAAUUAAAAACUAGUUGGCUAGUAAAACUGUCACGCACGCAAAUAUACAAAACUACAUACAUAUAUUCUUCUGAUUGGUGAUGCGUCGAAAAGUCGAGGCAUAUACUAGCAACGCACUGCGACUAAGAGAUGCAGCGACGCCUGUAAUGACACUUACAAAGGCGAGAAAACGAAAAUUCCUCAAAAGCCAAAAUUCCUCACUAGCGAGUAGAAUCACAAUGAAGACGACAAGUUGGCCACUUUCAAUGGCCAAGAUGCAACACAGCAUGCCGACGAGUACUGUACGGUGGUUGGGCUUGUUGACGCUGCUGCUGCUGCUGCUGCUGGCAACACGUA